UGCUGCGGAAUUAGUAUCUCGACAAAUCAAUAUGGUGUAGAAAUAAAUGACAAAUUUUUUAGAAAUCUUAAAAUGUGAAAUUUCUCCCGUUUGAAUCUUUCUUUUAUCCAAUACAUCUCAGAAAAUGAUAAAAUAUGAACCUUCUCCCGUUUCAAUAUCUUCCUUUAUCAAAUACAUCUCAGAAAUUUUCUGAUAUUGGAUGACUUCGUUAUUCAAGAAUUAUAUAUUACCUCGGAUUUAUCAUCUUUCAAAGAUUAACAGCACGUGAUAAAGAACAGAUAUUCCAAUCAUUAUCAUCGUUUAACGUCCGCCUUCCAUGCUGGCAUGGGUUGUCCGAUUUGAUAGGAGCUGGCCGGCAGAAAACUACACCAGACUUCUGUGUUUGUUUUGGCAUGGUUCUUUAUGGUUGGGUGCCCUUUCCAACACCAACCACCCUGCAGAAAAGAUUUGAGUGCAUUUUACGUGGUUUUUUUAUAAAUGUAAAGUAGAAUUACUUGAAAAUAUUUUCUCUUAACUGAAAUUAAUAGCAAAAUGUCUUUUGUUUUGCUGACUGCAAUGUGUACAAGAUGAUUUUGAGUUCUAGUUAAAAUUGGAUUACAGCAGAGUUUGGAGCAGCUGCAGAUAUUAAAAAAGAUUACAGAUGGAUAGAAAUAUAGCGGAGAAAAUAUUUGUUUAGAAUCAAUUAUAAAGAUAUACAGAAACGAGAAUAUAUUGAAGUGAGAGAAGAAAAAUUAUUUUAAAAAGAC